CCAUAUCGCGUUGAAACACCAGUCCUCACACGAUCACCGAAGUUAAGCAACGUCGAGCCUUGUCAGUACUUACAUGGGUAACCACUUCGGAAUACCGGGUGGUGUAA